rnacentral:rRNA from 2 species
CGCGGCCUAUCAGCUUGUUGGUGGGGUAAUGGCCUACCAAGGCAACGACGGGUAGCUGGUCUGAGAGGAUGAUCAGCCACACUGGGACUGAGACACGGCCCAGACUCCUACGGGAGGCAGCAGUGGGGAAUCUUGCGCAAUGGGCGAAAGCCUGACGCAGCAACGCCGCGUGCGGGAUGAAGGCCUUCGGGCUGUAAACCGCUUUCAGCAGGAACGAAAAUGACGGUACCUGCAGAAGAAGGAGCGGCCAACUACGUGCCAGCAGCCGCGGUGACACGUAGGCUCCAAGCGUUGUCCGGAUUUAUUGGGCGUAAAGAGCUCGUAGGCGGUUGAGUAAGUCGGGUGUGAAAACUCUGGGCUUAACCCGGAGACGCCAUCCGAUACUGCUCUGACUUGAGUUCAGGAGGGGAGUGGGGAAUUCCUAGUGUAGCGGUGAAAUGCGCAGAUAUUAGGAGGAACACCGGUGGCGAAGGCGCCACUCUGGACUGAAACUGACGCUGAGGAGCGAAAGCAUGGGUAGCAAACAGGAUUAGAUACCCUGGUAGUCCAUGCCGUAAACGGUGGGCACUAGGUGUGGGUUCCAACUAACGGGAUCCGCGCCGUCGCUAACGCAUUAAGUGCCCCGCCUGGGGAGUACGG